UGGGGAAUAUUGGACAAUGGGGGAAACCCUGAUCCAGCGACGCCGCGUGUGAAGAAGGCCUGCGGGUUGUAAAGCACUUUUAGUGGGGAUGAAAAGCCCAGGGAUAACACCUCUGGGUCUUGACCUAACCCACAGAAAAAGCACCGGCUAACUCUGUGCCAGCAGCCGCGGUAAUACAGAGGGUGCAAGCGUUAAUCGGAAUUACUGGGCGUAAAGCGUGCGUGGACGGUUACGUAAGUCGGGUGUGAAAGCCCCGGGCUCAACCCGGGGAUUGCAUUCGAGACUGCGUAGCUAGGGUGCGGAAGAGGGAAGCGGAAUUUCCGGUGUAGCGGUGAAAUGCGUAGAUAUCGGAAGGAACAUCAGUGGCGAAAGCGGCUUCCUGGUCCAGCACCGACGUUCAGGCACGAAAGCGUGGGGAGCAAACAGGAUUAGAUACCCUGGUAGUCCACGCCAUAAACGAUGAGAACUAGACGUUGAGAGGGUAAGCCUCGCAGUGUCGCAGCUAACGCGUUAAGUUCUCCGCCUGGGGAGUACGGCCGCAAGGUUGA
rnacentral:rRNA from 1 species